AACGAACGCUGGCGGCAUGCCUAACACAUGCAAGUCGAACGAGACCUUCGGGUCUAGUGGCGCACGGGUGCGUAACGCGUGGGAACCUGCCCUUAGGUUCGGAAUAACUCCCCGACAGGGGUGCUAAUACCGGAUAAUGUCUUCGGACCAAAGAUUUAUCGCGUUUGGAUGGGCCCGCGUUGGAUUAGCUAGUUGGUAGGGUAAAAGCCUACCAAGGCGACGAUCCAUAGCUGGUCUGAGAGGAUGAUCAGCCACACUGGGACUGAGACACGGCCCAGACUCCUACGGGAGGCAGCAGUGGGGAAUAUUGGAAAAUGGGCGAAAGCCUGAUCCAGCAAUGCCGCGUGAGUGAUGAAGGCCGUAGGGUUGUAAAGCUCUUUUACCCGGGAUGAUAAUGACAGUACCGGGAGAAUAAGCUCCGGCUAACUCCGUG
rnacentral:rRNA from 1 species